UGGGGAAUUUUGGACAAUGGGCGAAAGCCUGAUCCAGCAAUGCCGCGUGUGUGAAGAAGGCCUUCGGGUUGUAAAGCACUUUUGUCCGGAAAGAAAUCCUUGGCUCUAAUACAGUCGGGGGAUGACGGUACCGGAAGAAUAAGCACCGGCUAACUACGUGCCAGCAGCCGCGGUAAUACGUAGGGUGCAAGCGUUAAUCGGAAUUACUGGGCGUAAAGCGUGCGCAGGCGGUUUGCUAAGACCGAUGUGAAAUCCCCGGGCUCAACCUGGGAACUGCAUUGGUAACUGGCAGGCUAGAGUAUGGCAGAGGGGGGUAGAAUUCCACGUGUAGCAGUGAAAUGCGUAGAGAUGUGGAGGAAUACCGAUGGCGAAGGCAGCCCCCUGGGCCAAUACUGACGCUCAUGCACGAAAGCGUGGGGAGCAAAACAGGAUUAGAUACCCUGGUAGUCCACGCCCUAAACGAUGUCAACUAGUUGUUGGGGAUUCAUUUCCUUAGUAACGUAGCUAACGCGUGAAGUUGACCGCCUGGGGAGUACGGUCGCAAGAUUAAAACUCAAAGGAAUUGACGGGGUCAUAGCUGUUUCCU
rnacentral:rRNA from 1 species